AGUGAGCGCUGGCGGUAGGCCUAACACAUGCAAGUCGAACGGCAGCACAGUAAGAGCUUGCUCUUACGGGUGGCGAGUGGCGGACGGGUGAGGAAUACAUCGGAAUCUACUUUUUCGUGGGGGAUAACGUAGGGAAACUUACGCUAAUACCGCAUACGACCUACGGGUGAAAGCAGGGGAUCUUCGGACCUUGCGCGAUUGAAUGAGCCGAUGUCGGAUUAGCUAGUUGGCGGGGUAAAGGCACACCAAGGCGACGAUCCGUAGCUGGUCUGAGAGGAUGAUCAGCCACACUGGAACUGAGACACGGUCCAGACUCCUACGGGAGGCAGCAGUGGGGAAUAUUGGACAAUGGGCGCAAGCCUGAUCCAGCCAUACCGCGUGAGUGAAGAAGGCCUUCGGGUUGUAAAGCCCUUUUGUUGGGAAAGAAAAGCAGCAGGUUAAUACCCCGCUGUUCUGACGGUACCCAAAGAAUAAGCACCGGCUAACUUCGUG
rnacentral:rRNA from 1 species